GAAAUGCGAUAAGUAGUGUGAAUUGCAGAAUUCAGUGAAUCAUCGAAUCUUUGAACGCACAUUGCGCCCCUUGGUAUUCCAUGGGGCAUGCCUGUUCGAGCGUCAUUUGUACCCUCAAGCUCUGCUUGAUGUUGGGUGUUUGUCCCCGUCUCCGCGCGUGGACUCGCCCCAAAGUGAUUGGCAGCCGGCGUACUGGUCCCGGAGCGCAGCACAUGUCGCGCAAACGAGUGCCUUGGUACGGCGGCGUCCAUAAGCCCCUCUCUCACGCUCUUGACCUCGGAUCAGGUAGGGAUACCCGCUGAACUUAAGC
rnacentral:misc_RNA from 1 species